UUCUUUUCUGGUUGGUGGUUGUGAAAUGCACGGUGUGGUGGUAAAGGUCCAGGAGCCUGGCAUUUCUUGAAUUUGGACUUGGGCCAGAUGUGAAGUGGGAAAUAAGAUCAUCAACUGAACAUAAGGAUGGGUGAGGCUUAAGGAGAGAGAAGCGCUGAAGUGGGAAAGUGAAGGCACUACGGAAAUGCAAUUUCUGAUUAGCGUUAAGGGGCCACCUGGGGUUCAACAACAAGCAGACUUAAGGUAAGACCAGUCGGUGUAGCUGUGUGUUUUUCUUUAGUCAAAUUCAGAUACUUGGUUGAAGGUAUGAAAGUUGAAGUGGAUUUAGUCAGGGUUGUGGUUUCCCAAGAAAGGACAAUACUAGAGAGGACAAGAAUUGUUGAAGGUGUAUGCAAGGACAUGAUUAUGAUCACUCAUGGAGUAAAGCUGGGAGAGGGGUGAGGCCUGGUGAAAAAGUUGUAUGAUCAAUGGAUUGGAGAUCCUGUUGAGGGAAAAUGAUAAAAGUUGGAUACCAAGGAGAAUUAUCUGGAACGACAGGAGGUGGUGGUCAGAGAGUGGGAGAUAUGAAAUGGCAUUUACGGAGGGGUUACAGUUAUUGCCAAUAGUGAACUACUCUUGUUUUUCUGGAAUAUCUUCCUUACUCAUAGUAUACUAU
rnacentral:lncRNA from 1 species